AUGAGCAGCUCCACACCCAACACAGAUAAACACAAAAAGCAGACCAUCUCCCUUUCUUCUCCAAGAAAGAUCUCUCCUUGCUCAGGCCUCAGCUCACUGCAAGUUCCCUACAUCGAUCCUCUCCCCGUCGUCGGUCGCGAAACAACUAAUGGCUUCUUCUUCUUCCAGCGCCCGAGGCAGCCGCGUGGCCACAUGCCUCGUGCUGGUUCUCCUGCUCGUCAGCAUGCGAGAAGCCUCAGCCGCGCGGCCGCUCCGGCCGGCCGGCGACGUGUCCAGCGAGGUGAAGGACCAGGCGGUCCUCGACAAGUACGCGCCGCUUCUGCUCGCCAUGCUGCCGAGGGCCCCGACUCCGCCUUCCGCCCCGAGCGGUGGCACGAACGAGGCCAGGAACUGAUGAAGCACCCGCAAGGUUUUCCACUAGAAUGGAUGAUCGAUCUCUACAAGAGAAAUCGUUAUGCUGAGUGGUUGAUGGUUUGCUCUGUUUAG
rnacentral:rRNA from 1 species